CCUCUGCCUUCCCGGGCCCCCUACCCGACCCCAAGACAACAGGCCCCAUCUAUGAGGAAUUACUCAACCCAAACACAGAGGUGUACUGCCGCAUCAUCCCCAGAGCAGACGUGGCGUCUUAGUUCCUCCAGGACCUGAGACCCCAGACCCUGUGGAUGUGGCCUGUGCCAGAGAACCAGCUCUGAGCAUCAU